GAGAGAAGAAGAAAGAAGAAAGAAGAGGGAGACAUGGUUUCUUUUGACCAUUUUUUUGUUUUAAAAUCUCUUUUCCUCGCUUGAAAAGAUCAUUUUUGUCUCUCCUUUCCAUUUUUCUCUCUCG
rnacentral:ribozyme from 13 species